GUGAGGUAACGGCUCACCAAGGCAGCGACGGGUAGCUGGUCUGAGAGGACGAUCAGCCACACUGGGACUGAGACACGGCCCAGACUCCUACGGGAGGCAGCAGCAGGGAAUAUUGCACAAUGGGCGAAAGCCUGACGCAGCGACGCCGCGUGAGGGAUGGCGGCCUUCGGGUUGUAAACCUCUUUCAGGAAGGACGAAGCGAAAGUGACGGUACUUCCAGAAGAAGCCCCGGCCAACUACGUGCCAGCAGCCGCGGUAAUACGUAGGGGGCAAACGUUGUCCGGGUUUAUUGGGCGUAAAGAGCUCGUAGGCGACUCAGCAAGUCGGCCGUGAAAGCCCGAGGCUCAACCUCGGGAGGCCGGUCGAAACUGCUGUGGCUAGGGUCCGGUAGAGGAGAGUGGAAUUCCCGGUGUAGCGGUGAAAUGCGCAGAUAUCGGGAGGAACACCAGUAGCGAAGGCGGCUCUCUGGGCCGGUACCGACGCUGAGGAGCGAAAGCUAGGGGAGCAAACAGGAUUAGAUACCCUGGUAGUCCUAGCUGUAAACGUUGGGCACUAGGUGUGGCGGAUUCAUUGACAUCUGCCGUGCCGAAGCUAACGCGUUAAGUG
rnacentral:rRNA from 1 species